CAUGUCCUGGAGUGGGGGAUAGCUCGGCGAAAGCCGGAUUAAUAAACGCAUACGCUCUGAGUGAGGAAAGCGGGGGACCUGUGUAACGGGCCUCGCGCUUGGUGGGCAGUGGCCCGAUGUCAGGCAUUAGCGUAGUUGGUGAGGUAAGAGGCUCACCAAGGUGACGAUCCGUAGCUGGUCUGAGAGGAUGAUCAGCCACAUUGGGUAACUGAGACAGGGUCCAAAUCUUAUACGGGAGGCAGCAGUGGGGAAUUGGACAAUGGGGGCACCCUGAUCCAGCCUUGCCGUGUAAGUGAAGAAGGCCUUCGGGUUGUAAAGCUCUUUCGGACGGAACGAAAUGGUUACGGUGAAUAACCGUGACUGAUGACGGUACCGUAAGAAGAAGCACCGGUAACUACGUGCCAGCAGCCGCGG
rnacentral:rRNA from 1 species